CAUGACCUCAGGUCAGGUGAGAUUACCCGUUGAGUUUAAACAUAUUAACGAGUGGAGGAAAAUAAACUUAUCAUGAUUCCCCUAGUAACGAUUAGUGAACUGAAAAGAGCCUAGCUUGAAAAUUAGAUGCCCUAACCAUUCGAAUUGUAAUAUGGAGAAGCAUCCUUAGUAGCAAACAAGGCUCAAUCCCUUGAAAAAGGGUGUUAGAUAGGGUAAAAGCCUCAUUAUGCCUAUACUUUUUCACACCAUGAAGUGCUAUCUACGAGUCAGGUUUAUUGGGAAUAUAGCCCCAAUAGGGCAUUAAAUUCUAUCCAAGGCUAAAUAUAGGAUAAAAAUCGAUAGUAAACAAGUCCUCAAGGGAAAGAUGAAGAGGAUUUUGAAAAGAGAGUCAAAAGAGCUUGAAAUUGUUGGGAAGAAAGAGGAUAGGGGCUGAUGAUGCGCCUUGGUCUGAUAUGGAACAAUGAGAGCCGGUUUGUUAAUCGACUCGAGGUAUAAACCGAUGUGGGUCACGAUAGUGACCUAAUCCUGGGCUUUCGAUAUGCUCAUGGAGACAUUAUUGCCAUGAUCAUGGAAUACAGCACACACAGUCUUGGCAAACUCUGGCAUCAACUUGUGGGUUCCCCAUCCAACUUGUCUUAAAACAUGGACUAAGGAAUCUGACAUGUGUGCGAGUUAAUAGGCUAGAAAACCCAUAAGGCAUAAGACAUUAAUUGAUGGGAUCCCUCUUAGGUGCACCAUCAAUUAACCUUGAUCUUUUGAGAAGGGUUUGAGUGUGAGCAUACUUGUUGAGACCCAAAAGAUGGUGAACUAUGCCCAAGUGGGGCGAAGCUAAAGGAAACUUUGGUGAAGGCUUGCAACAAUAAUGACAUGCAAAUUGUUCAUUUGACUUAGGUAUAGGGGCGAAAGACUAAUCGAAUUGCCUAGUAGCUGGUUCCCUUCAAAGUUUCCCUCAGGAUAACUAGAGUCCUUAGCAAGUUCUAUCGAGUAAAGCCAAUGAUUAGAGGCAUUAUGCAUGCAAUGCCUUCUACCUAUUCUCCAACUUUAAAUAGGUAGGACAGUGUGGCUACUUCAUUGAGCCACGCCACAGAAUUGAGAGCUCUAAGUGGAUAAUUUUUGAUAAGCAAAAUUGGUGAUACGAGAUAAACUGAAAGCCAGGUUACAGUGCCCAACUAUACGCUAAACUAAAACCCACAAAGGGUGUUGGUCAAUUAAGAUAGCGGGAUGGUAGUCAUGGAAGUCAAAACCCUAAACCUGCUGAAUCAACUAGCUCUAAAAAUGGAUGGCACUUAAGCGCAUGACCUAUACCUGAUCAUCAGGGCAAAGGCUAGGCCCCGAUGAGUAGAAAGGCAUGACGGUUGUCGUAAAACCUAAGGCACAAGCCUAGAUGAAAUAGCCAUCAAUGCAGAUCUUGGUGGUAGUAGCAAAUAUUCAAAUAAGAACUUUGAAGGUAAAAAAAAAAAGGUUCCAUGUGAAUGACACUUGCACAUGGGUUACUCGAUCCUAAGAGAUGGGAAAAGUUCAUCUGUUAGCAUAUUUGACACGAACUUCGAAAGGGAAUUAGGUUAAAAUUCUUGAAUUAGGAUGUGAUAGCUGAUGAUAAUGUUAGGGAGUCUAAAAACGUUGGUGGGGGCCUCAGGAAGAGUUAUCUUUUUUGUUUAACAACCUACCCACCAUAAAACCAACUCAACCAAAGAUAGGGUCCAGUGGCUAGAAGAACAUAACAUGUCACAUGGUGUCCUAUGCACCCCCGGUGGCCCUUAAAAAUUAGAAAGAUCGAGUGUCAUUCACCUUUGGUGAUACUCAUAAUUGCAUCAGGUCUCCAAGGUGAGCAGCCUUUAAUCAAUGGAACAAUAUAGGCAAGAGAAAUUGACAAAAUGGAUCCGUAACCUCAAGAAAAGGAUUGGCUUUGAGAGCUAGGCAUGAAGGUCCUAGUUUCGAACCCAUCAUUUGCUAGUACACUACUUUAGUUGCUCUCACCAUGAUAGUGGGUCACUGCAUGCUGAUUUAAGGAUGGACUAGGAAUGGCUCCCUCGGGGGCCUUUUCGAGUAACAAAUAGUUGUCUCAAAACUAGUAUGGACAAGGGGAAUUUGACUAUUUAAUUAAAAUGAAGCAUUACAAUGGUCCUUGCAGAUGCAUAUGCAAUGUCAUUUUUGCCUAGUGCUCUGAAUGUCAAAGUGAAGAAAUUCAACCAAGCGUGACUAAAUGAUAGGAGUAACUAUGACUCUCUUAAGGUAGCCAAAUGCCUCGUCAUCCAAUCAGUGAUAUGCAUGAAUGGAUUAACAAGAUUCCCACUGUCCCUAUCUGCUAUCUAGUGAAACCACAACUAAGGGAAUGGGCUUAACAGAAUCAGUGGGAAAAGGAGACCCUAUUGAGAUUGACUCUAGUCCGACUUUGUGAAAUGACUUGAGAGGUGUAGGAUAAGUGGAAGCCCUCAGGCAAAAUUGAAAUACCACUACUUUUAAUGUUAUUUUACUUAUUCCAUGAAUUAGAGGCAAGGCACAACCACUUUUUUUAAACUCAAAGCCGGCCUUGGUUAGUCAAUCCAAGCAAAAAUUAUUGUUAGGCAGGAACUUUGGUUGGGGUUGCACAUCUAUUAAAAGAUAACCCACCAAUAGGGAACAUGAGCUGGGUUUAAACCGUCAUGCAAUAGGUUAGUUUUACCCUAUUGAUGGCAAUGUCGCAAUAGUAAUUCAACCUAGUGCGAGAGGAACCAUUGAUUCGCACAAUUUAUCAUCGCACUUGGUUGAAAAACUAGUGAAGUGAAGUUAUCGUGUGCUGGAUUAUGAUUAAACACCUUUAAGUCAAAAUUUAGGUUGGAAGUGAUGCAUGCACCCGUCAUCCAAUUACUGACCUACAAUAGGGGCACAUGGCCCUCAAGGGCACAUGUUAUAGGUACAGCCAUAAUGAGGGACAAGCCGCAUGAGCCUCCUUAAAGCUUAAUUCCCAUCGAGUGAUGGGUAUAAUCCUUUGCAGACAACUUAAAUAUGCCACAAGUUAAUAUAUGUUAUAGAGUGGCCUUGCUGCCAUGAUCCACUGAGAUUCAGCCCUUUGUCACUUUGAUUCGACCUUACCCCUCCACACCCACUGAAGCCCUCUCACUUUAUUUUUUUACAUCGCAUCCCUCUAAAGUUAGGGAUGAAUGGUGUUCUUCAUUACAACUGAUUCACCCAAGUGAUGACAUCCCCCUUUGAGUGUCCAAGUAAAUGAU
rnacentral:rRNA from 1 species